rnacentral:misc_RNA from 1 species
AAGUCGUAACAAGGUAUCCGUAGGUGAACCUGCGGAUGGAUCAUUCAAAGGUGAAAAUGGCCCUAUGGGCUGUUUUUGUUUUGUGCAAUGUAAUAUGUGUAUGAGUGUGUCGCUCUCAUAUUGGGAGUGGCACACACAUCAUUUUUUACCCAUUCUAACCGAACUUAUUGAAACAAAGAACCUUGAAAACUGCCAGCAAUGGAUCCCUCGGUUCUC